rnacentral:rRNA from 1 species
AUUGAACGCUGGCGGCAGGCCUAACACAUGCAAGUCGAACGGUAGCACAGAGAGCUUGCUCUCGGGUGACGAGUGGCGGACGGGUGAGUAAUGUCUGGGAAACUGCCCGAUGGAGGGGGAUAACUACUGGAAACGGUAGCUAAUACCGCAUAACGUCGCAAGACCAAAGUGGGGGACCUUCGGGCCUCACACCAUCGGAUGUGCCCAGAUGGGAUUAGCUAGUAGGUGGGGGAAUGGCUCACCUAGGCGACGAUCCCUAGCUGGUCUGAGAGGAUGACAAGCCACACUGGAAAUGAGACACGGUCCAGACUCCUACGGGAGGCAGCAGCGGGGAAUAUUGCACAAUGGGCGCAAGCCUGAUGCAGCCAUGCAGCGUGUAUGAAGAAGGCCUUCGGGUUGUAAAGUACUUUCAGCGGGGAGGAAGGCGGUGGAGUUAAUAACUUCACCGAUUGACGUUACCCGCAGAAGAAGCACCGGCUAACUCCGUGCCAGCCGCCGCAGUAAGAC